rnacentral:rRNA from 1 species
GACGAACGCUGGCGGCGUGCUUAACACAUGCAAGUCGAACGGAAAGGCCCUGCUUUUGUGGGGUGCUCGAGUGGCGAACGGGUGAGUAACACGUGAGUAACCUGCCCUUGACUUUGGGAUAACUUCAGGAAACUGGGGCUAAUACCGGAUAGGAGCUCCUGCUGCAUGGUGGGGGUUGGAAAGUUUCGGCGGUUGGGGAUGGACUCGCGGCUUAUCAGCUUGUUGGUGGGGUAGUGGCUUACCAAGGCUUUGACGGGUAGCCGGCCUGAGAGGGUGACCGGCCACAUUGGGACUGAGAUACGGCCCAGACUCCUACGGGAGGCAGCAGUGGGGAAUAUUGCACAAUGGGCGGAAGCCUGAUGCAGCAACGCCGCGUGCGGGAUGACGGCCUUCGGGUUGUAAGCCGCUUUCGCCUGUGACGAAGCGUGAGUGACGGUAAUGGGUAAAGAAGCACCGGCUAACUACGUGCCAGCAGCCGCGGUGAUACGUAGGGUGCGAGCGUUGUCCGGAUUUAUUGGGCGUAAAGGGCUUGUAGGUGGUUGAUCGCGUCGGAAGUGUAAUCUUGGGGCUUAACCCUGAGCGUGCUUUCGAUACGGGUUGACUUGAGGAAGGUAGGGGAGAAUGGAAUUCCUGGUGGAGCGGUGGAAUGCGCAGAUAUCAGGAGGAACACCAGUGGCGAAGGCGGUUCUCUGGGCCUUUCCUGACGCUGAGGAGCGAAAGCGUGGGGAGCGAACAGGCUUAGAUACCCUGGUAGUCCACGCUGUAAACGGUGGGUACUAGGUGUGGGGUCCAUUCCACGGGUUCCGUGCCGUAGCUAACGCUUUAAGUACCCCGCCUGGGGAGUACGGCCGCAAGGCUAAAACUCAAAGGAAUUGACGGGGCCCCGCACAAGCGGCGGAGCAUGCGGAUUAAUUCGAUGCAACGCGUAGAACCUUACCUGGGUUUGACAUGGAUCGGGAGUGCUCAGAGAUGGGUGUGCCUCUUUUGGGGUCGGUUCACAGGUGGUGCAUGGCUGUCGUCAGCUCGUGUCGUGAGAUGUUGGGUUAAGUCCCGCAACGAGCGCAACCCUUGUUCACUGUUGCCAGCACGUUAUGGUGGGGACUCAGUGGAGACCGCCGGGGUCAACUCGGAGGAAGGUGGGGAUGACGUCAAGUCAUCAUGCCCCUUAUGUCCAGGGCUUCACGCAUGCUACAAUGGCUGGUACAGAGAGUGGCGAGCCUGUGAGGGUGAGCGAAUCUCGGAAAGCCGGUCUCAGUUCGGAUUGGGGUCUGCAACUCGACCUCAUGAAGUCGGAGUCGCUAGUAAUCGCAGAUCAGCAACGCUGCGGUGAAUACGUUCCCGGGGCU